rnacentral:lncRNA from 1 species
GGCAGGUGUACCCUGCUGCACAGGUGGCCUCCGAACCCGGGAAAAGAGGAACUAAGGCGGAGGAACUGAGACGUUUCGAAUUCCAGGCGCACUGCACACUCGCCAGGGGGCACGCCAUGCAAAUCUCCUUCCGGGCCAAUGCACAUGGUUGCUGCCACAGGUUUACCGGAUGCUAUCAAGGUUUCAACUGCCCACACAGCUUCUUCAACGUGUUCAAAAUACUGGAAUCAGUUAAGCUAAGGUAUGAAGGUGUCUGACUCACUCCUCCUGCUACCAAAGCAUCUCCUUCAUCAGCCACUUGUCGGGCGAUGUCGCAAGCAGCUUCAUUGACUUUCUGCCCCUAAAAUGGGUGGCAUCUUCGUGGUGUCCAGACAGGUGGUCGACACGGAUGCGGACCGACUAGGCGAGCCUUCCCGCUGCGCAGCCCCGAACUGCUCCGAGUCCGCAGCCUGCCUCUUUAUACCCGCAGUUGGGCGUGGGGAGGGCCUCCCAGCCACCGCGCGGGCCAACACGGACCUUGGGCGGGAACACGCCCACCAGCCCUUCAUCAGGCCCGCCUCCUGUUGGGAACCUGGCCUGCCAAGGAGGUAAUCCAGAUUGUUCACCCAAAU